UUUAUCUAUUUUAUUUUUUAAUGUGAAUGCGAGAAUACAGAGCGGGAAGUGCGUGGUGUUACAAGAGCAAAAACUGUGAGAGAGAACUUAAUUAAGUGCUGGCGCACUGCGUAGUGAUGUGUCGUUCGUGAAGGAAUCGUUCAUUUUGAACGAAUCUUUAAUAUGAUUCGGGAACAACGAGUUGUCUCAGAGAGUGAUCCGUUAAUUUUUGAACGCGCAUGCGCAGCCACAUCCCCAUAGGUUCUGUACCGGAAACAGAAAUGAUUAGUUCACCUCUGGAGGCUUUGGUUCGAGUCGUUCGUUCAUCACUUCACAGCCCCACUGCAUUCAGAAUAUGGGGCAGUCACGUGAUGAACGAAUGCCUCGAGCCUGAAGACUCGAGACGUGAACUGAUCAAAUGUGACGUGACAAAAGAAGAACGACUCGGAUCGGGAGGUGAACUAACAGACUGCUAAUGCUAAGCAAUUAAUCAAUCAUUUCUGUUUCUCAUAAUUCGGCCUCGGUUGCAUUAGCCUAUAGUUUAUUUUUUAUUCCAAAUGUGAUCAACGUUUGCAUCAGCGCAGAAUUCACCAGACUUGUGUCGAUGGACCUGAGCAAGUCCUUUUAUGAGGGUCUUGACAAACACGCCUCAAAGCUGCUGUAUUUGUACCGCUCGAGGCGCCAUGCAGACAUCGCAGAAAGGAGUGCCAUACUGGAGAGCCUGGAUAAAAAUGCAUCAAAUCACAGGAAGAGGGUUGCAGUACUGCUGGGGCUGCCACUGUCCAUGCGGGAGAAUCCAUCUCAGUUCUUACAGAUCCGUGAGGUAAGUGUCUGUGAGGAAAGUAAGGUGUUGGAAGAUAUUCGGAUAAUGGAAAUCCACGUAUUGAUAUGGAGUAUUGAUAUCCACGUAUUGAUGGAGUUUACCUUGUUUUAUUUUCAUGAGAGAUGAUGAAUUUCAGGACGUUGUAUUUUUUUUUUCCCA